CGCAAUCUCUACUCGAGUCUAAAGGACUCUCGGCAACGGAUAUCUCGGCUCUUGCAUCGAUGAAGAACGUAGCGAAAUGCGAUACUUGGUGUGAAUUGCAGAAUCCCGCGAACCAUCAAUUCUUUGAACGCAAGUUGCGCCCGAAGCCCUCGGGCGAGGGCACGCCUGCCUGGGCGU
rnacentral:rRNA from 1 species